CCCCGCCCCGCCAACUGCAGGCAGCUUGUGCUACCCUUUGUAGUUUUACGGAAGGUGAAGACUAAGUUCACGCCCCCCCCCCCAGCCCCAAAGCACUCUGGGUGAGCAGCUACUCCUGUGGUUUCUCAUUGGCUCUCUCACUCUCAAAACAGCUCGUUCCCAGCCCCUCCAAGCAUUUCGUGGUCCACGUGACCAAUAGCAGCAAGAAGAAGUGGAGGUUUAUUGUCCGGCUGUACACAGCACAAGCAAGAAAGCUCAAAUCAAAUCACCUGUAACGUCAUGAUGCACACUUGUUGACAUAUCCAUAUAUCCAUUGCCUCAUUCAUCGGAGAACAUCUCAGGAGCAAGGACACUGUGAUAUUUAUUACUUUAACCUCCAUGACUGUCAGAAAUAGCAGGUAACCAAUAAACGUUUUUAUUAUAAAAAUGGAACAGUCAAUGCACCACUAAAGACAUUUCAGUCAACAAUGGACUGCGUAUACAACCAUGGUCCCAUAAAAUUACGGUAGAGCUGAAAAGUUUCUAUUGCUUGGCAACAUU
rnacentral:lncRNA from 1 species